rnacentral:rRNA from 1 species
AGUGAACGCUGGCGGUAGGCCUAACACAUGCAAGUCGAACGGCAGCACAGUAAGAGCUUGCUCUUACGGGUGGCGAGUGGCGGACGGGUGAGGAAUACAUCGGAAUCUACUUUUUCGUGGGGGAUAACGUAGGGAAACUUACGCUAAUACCGCAUACGACCUACGGGUGAAAGCAGGGGAUCUUCGGACCUUGCGCGAUUGAAUGAGCCGAUGUCGGAUUAGCUAGUUGGCGGGGUAAAGGCCCACCAAGGCGACGAUCCGUAGCUGGUCUGAGAGGAUGAUCAGCCACACUGGAACUGAGACACGGUCCAGACGCCUACGGGAGGCAGCAGUGGGGAAUAUUGGACAAUGGGCGCAAGCCUAAUCCAGCCAUACCGCGUGUGUGAAGAAGGCCUUCGGGUUGUAAAGCCCUUUUGUUGGGAAAGAAAAGCAGCAGGUUAAUACCCCGCUGUUCUGACGGUACCCAAAGAAUAAGCACCGGCUAACUUCGUG